UAGCUCCACCACAACCAG
rnacentral:misc_RNA from 1 species